rnacentral:rRNA from 1 species
GGAGGGUGCAAGCGUUAAUCGGAAUUACUGGGCGUAAAGCGAGUGUAGGCGGCUUCAUAAGUCGGAUGUGAAAGCCCUGGGCUUAACCUGGGAAUGGCAUUCGAUACUGUGAAACUAGAGUCUGAUAGAGGGAAGUGGAAUUCCGGGUGUAGCGGUGAAAUGCGUAGAGAUCCGGAGGAACACCAGUGGCGAAGGCGGCUUCCUGGAUCGAGACUGACGCUGAGGCUCGAAAGCGUGGGGAGCAAACAGGAUUAGAUACCCUGGUAGUCCGCGCCCUAAACGAUGUCAACUAGACGUUGGGCUCAUUUCGGAGUCUAGUGUCGAAGCUAACGCGUUAAGUUGACCGCCUGGGGAGUACGGCCGCAAGGUUA